CGGCCGCGUGAGUGAUGAAGGCCUUCGGGUUGUAAAGCUCUGUGGGGCGAGACGAAUAAGUGCAGCCUAAUACGCUGCAUGAUGACGGUAUCGCCUUAGCAAGCACCGGCUAACUCUGUGCCAGCAGCCGCGGUAAGACAGAGGGUGCAAACGUUGUUCGGAAUUACUGGGCGUAAAGCGAGUGUAGGCGGUCUACUAAGUCGGGUGUGAAAGCCCCGGGCUCAACCCGGGAAGUGCACUCGAAACUGGCAGGCUAGAGUAUCGGAGAGGUUGGUGGAAUUCUCGGUGUAGAGGUGAAAUUCGUAGAUAUCGAGAGGAACACCGGUGGCGAAGGCGGCCAACUGGACGAAUACUGACGCUGAGACUCGAAAGCGUGGGGAGCAAACAGGAUUAGAUACCCUGGUAGUCCACGCCGUAAACGAUGGGUGCUAGGUGUCGCGGGCUUUGACUCCCGCGGUGCCGUAGCUAACGCAUUAAGCACCCCGCCUGGGAAGUACGGCCGCAAGGACU
rnacentral:rRNA from 1 species